UAGGCCCUCUGCGCUCGUUUCUCACCGGUGGGCAGACCUGGUCACCCCCCUUCAGGAUUAGCUCACACACAGAAUUCCCAGGCGGGUUUCAGGAGCGUCAGUCACAGGGACGAGUGGGGAGCUCCUGAGUGGGCGCUGCACGGUGAGCCGGCGCCGGACACACCGCCUGGACCUGGUCACCGCCACAGCGAUGCCUCCUGAGCUACCACCUGUGGCCCCCAGCUUUGGCUGACGGAGAAGCUCGGCGGGUUCCCGGACAGCUGAAGAGGGCUUCUGAGUGCGGAAUACCCCCCUAACGGCGCGGUGUGCUAAGGCUCUGUUCCCCGGGCACCCUGAUGCUGUCUUUCAUCUUGCUCCACUGAGCCUAGGCCCUAAGGCCCCAGGCCGGGUUCUGUUUCUCCCCCGUGGGGAAGGUGUGCUGUCGGGCUGUUGGACAGCACGCGGGUCCAGGGAGGGCCAGCUGGCUGACCUCUUUCAUCUUCAGCACCUUUCCCGAGGCCUGUUCUGUCCUGAUCUGGUCUGGGGUCUCCCUGCUGCCUCGUUCCUGCCCCCGGACUGCAGAAAGAGCCGGGACCUGGGAAACCGACUUGAAGCUAGUAAAGCAGCCAAGAAUUCCCAAGCUUUCCCAGGCAAGCGUGGAGGAACACUGGGACGCCUUUUUCUUCUCCUCUGUCCAUCUGCGGGCCAAGUGUGCAUCGGUCACAGGCAAACUCUGAAUCGAGCUUUGUGCAAGUCUCUGGAAAGAAACCCAAGAUCGUGUGAUGAGCAAAAGUUACAGUGAUGGUGGCCGCGACAUCUGCAGAGUAGCCCUAUCCCUAUCUGCAGCAGAAUGCGUGUGGGCAUCUUUCAUGAGAACAAUCCACCCAAGUUAGAAUGGGGCAUUUGACAUCAGCUGAGACCCACGCUGCCUGACAAUGAGAAGCCUGUUGGUCAAAGGGAGGACUGUCUAAUGAACUGAGAAUCAGAGGCCAGCUCUGGCCAUCUGUACUUACAAUCAUUAGAGCAACUCUUUACUGUAAUU